rnacentral:rRNA from 1 species
CGGCGAGUGAAGCGGCAGCAGCUCAAAUUUGAAAUCUGGCUCCCCUCGGGGGUCCGAGUUGUAAUUUGCAGAAGAGGCUUCGAGCGGGGCGUCGGUCUAAGUUCCUUGGAACAGGACGUCGCAGAGGGUGAGAAUCCCGUACGGGAUCGCGCGCCUCCGCUCGCGUGAAGCUCUUUCGACGAGUCGAGUUGUUUGGGAAUGCAGCUCUAAGCGGGUGGUAAAUUUCAUCUAAAGCUAAAUACGGGCCAGAGACCGAUAGCGCACAAGUAGAGUGAUCGAAAGAUGAAAAGCACUUUGGAAAGAGGGUUAAACAGUACGUGAAAUUGUUGAAAGGGAAGCGUUGGCCACCAGACGUGGGCGCGGGCGAUCAUCCGGGGCUCGCCCCGGUGCACUCGUCCGCGCGCAGGCCCGCAUCGGUUUCGGUGGUCGGAGAAAGGUCGCGGGAACGUGGCGCCCCCUCGGGGGCGUGUUACAGCCCGCGGCGCCAUGCGACCCACCGGGAUCGAGGACCGCGCUUCGGCUAGGAUGCGGGCGUAAUGGUGGUCAACGACCCGUCUUGAAACACGGACCAAGGAGUCUAACAUCUAUGCGAGUAUCUGGGUGCCAAACCCACGUGCGGAAUGAAAGUGAACGGAGGUGAGAACCCGCGAGGGCGCAUCAUCGACCGAUCCGGAUGUCUUCGGAUGGAUUUGAGUAGGAGCAUAGCUGUUGGGACCCGAAAGAGUGUGAACUUUACGUGGAUAGGGUGAAGUCAAGGGAAACCUUGAUGGAGGCUCGCAGCGGUUCUGACGUGCAAAUCGAUCGUCGAAUCUGCGUAAAGGGGCGAAAGACUAAUCGAACAUU